AUCCUUUUGUAGUUUGUAAGUCUGAUGACUGGUGCUCAUACAUGUGAGAUGUGCCUCUCUCACACCUUGUUAUGACAUCGGCAUAUUACCUGUCUGACA
ensembl:snoRNA